UUUGUUUCGUGGGACUGGACGGGAUUGGACUAGCUUAUAUAAUGAAAUUAGACUUGUCCUACGUUUGGCAGAUAUGGGGACUCAAUUAAAUGAGAUAAGAGAGUCCCCGCAUCCGCUCCCGACCUUCUUACACAGAACCCCCAAAACUCACAGGACUCUGGAAGCAAGGGCUUCAGCAACGCUCAAUCCCUUUCGCGCGCUUAAGCUUGGUCUCUCCAUCCCUUCGCGCGCUUCAGCCUCGUCUCUCCAUCUCUCGAUCGCGCUUCAUCCUCCUUGAACUACUCGUCCAGGUUCAAUUUCUUUUCUCUCUCAUGCUCCUUUUGCUUUGAUUCUGAUUCCCUCUUCCCUUCGACCCCGUCGAGCUUCUGGUGUAUCUACUGUGAUUUGUUAAAUUAAAGACUAUGGAUUGAUUUUCUAUUAACAAUUGUUUAUAGAUUGUAACAAUUGGUGUCUGGGUAGCUUGAUUUGGUAAGAAUUGAUCAAUUUCAAGACUGGGUUUUUUUUUUCUUUUAACAACGUCUCUGUUUUUGUCAUAGAUUUAAUAUUUCUGGAUUUGGAUAGUUUGAUCAUAGAUUUAAUAUUGUUUUUGGUCAAGGAGUCUGCUACAGGUGCAGUUGAGAUUGCUGGGAAACAUUUUCCAGGAGUAGAAUGCAAAUGGGGUGAUCAGGGUCUUGAGGAAAUUAUUGCAGAUAGUUCAAUUCUUGGUGUUGCUGUGGUUUUAGCUGGCCAAGCUCAGGUUGAUUUCUCACUGAAGCUUCUCAAAGCAGGGAAGAAUGUCCUUCAAGAGAAACCAGCAGCAGCUACUACAAGUGAAUUGGAAACUGCAGUGUAUAGUUAUAAAACCAAUUUGGGCUGUAGCAGAAAAUUAUCGAUUUGAACCUGCUCAUGUUAUCUCAGGCUGUGUUGUAUUAAUAGGUGGACUUGUCAAUGUGUAAAAACUAACUACAAGUAUGCAGAUUGUGGUUCCUCUUCUCAAUCUAUGAUUAUUUUGCUGCAUGUGAACUUUUAGUCCAAUACAUAAACAAACAUGGGAUAUGACUAUUUUGA